rnacentral:tRNA from 1 species
ACCUCUGUAGCCCAGUUGGUUAGAGCGCUGCACCGGAAUCGCAGGGCCGUGGGUUCAGUUCCUACCAGAGGAC